GGGUCCGUAGCUCAGUUGGUUAGAGUACUACCUUGACAUGGUAGGGGUCGGCGAUUCGAGUUCGCCCGGGCCCACCA
rnacentral:tRNA from 1 species